AGAUUGAACGCUGGCGGCAUGCCUUACACAUGCAAGUCGAACGGCAGCACGGGAGCAAUCCUGGUGGCGAGUGGCGAACGGGUGAGUAAUAUAUCGGAACGUGCCCAGUCGUGGGGGGAUAACGCAGCGAAAGCUGUGCUAAUACCGCAUACGAUCUAUGGAUGAAAGCGGGGGAUCGCAAGACCUCGCGCGAUUGGAGCGGCCGAUAUCAGACUAGGUAGUUGGUGGGGUAAAGGGCCUACCAAGCCUGCGAUCUGUAGCUGGUCUGAGAGGACGACCAGCCACACUGGAACUGAGACACGGUCCAGACUCCUACGGGAGGCAGCAGUGGGGAAGUUUUGGACAAUGGGCGCAAGCCUGACUUCCAGCAAUGGACCGCGUGCAGGAUGAAGCCUUGGUUAGUAACGUAGCUUUUAGUACGGUAACGUAACGUUACUUUCUUAAUACAAGAGAGACAAUAGACCGUAACCGUAAGAAUAAAGACCACGG
rnacentral:rRNA from 1 species